GUGCUCACUUAAGCAGCACAUAUACUAAAAUUUGAACAACACAAAGAGGAUUAGCAUGGCCCCCGCACAAAGAUGACACACAACUUCAUGAAACAUUAAAAAGAAAG
ensembl:snRNA U6 U6 spliceosomal RNA